rnacentral:rRNA from 1 species
GGAUGCGGAUCUCGAAAGCCUGUCCCAGUUCGGACUGGAGUCUGCCAACCCGACUCCACGAAGUUGGAUUCGCUAGUAAUCGCGCAUCAGCCAUGGCGCGGUGAAUACGUUCCCCGGGCCUUGUACACACCGCCCGUCAAGCCAUGGGAGCCGGGGGCGCCUGAAGUCCGGGACCGCGAGGACCGGCCUAGGGCGAAACUGGUAACUGGGGCUAAGUCGUAACAAGGUACC